CCCCACUCAGAUGUACUGCAUCACGUAGGGCCUGCUCUGCUGUGUGGGAAAUGAAGCCAGAAUCCACAGAUGUCAUUAUCCAUCUGCAUACUUUUGUUUACUACCCAGAGGGCAAGGAUAUUGCAUUUUAAAAGAGGACUUUUGUUCUUUCUUAUCACAAAUGACUUGAGAAGCUCUGACCAUUCAUGUUUACCCUGAGUGAAAGCCCCAGUCAAAGCCUUGCUUCCUGGAGAGCUUUGAGAUUCUGGUACAAAAGGCAUUUUAUAAGCACAAAGUGGAAAAGCAUCAUUUAUAUUCAUUUGCUGCUGUGGCAUUUCUCUCUGGAAUCUUCCUCUUGUCUGUCAACAUUGUGCAAAAAAGACUGGCCUCAUCUACAUUACAAAUAUCAUUCUUUUAAUGGUCUGGAAGUGGGAAAGAGCACAAGAGUGGGAGGAGAAGCUUGAGCUCUUCUGUUGGAGGGUCUUGGGCUUGUUUAUCCCUAAAAUUGGUUGGACAUAGUUGGUGUGGAUAUUAUGAACUGUGUACGAAAGACCUGAGUAUGAAAGUACUAUGGUGCUUGUGCCUCUUGGCUGCAACGAAUGUUUAUGAUCUGCUUGCAGUGACUCACAGGAGAAUCACAGCCAUAGGGGAUGAUCCUCAGAGGGGUCGUUUAGAAUAGACGAGUCUCUGGGCAGAGGAUGGUCUGCAUUGGCCUCCGCGGCUACAGGAAGGCUUCCAGAGUGAAGAAAUUUCCACCAAGAUGUCUCUUAGGACCUGUGGCAAAUCCUUCCUCGUAGGGGACUCUACUUGAUGUGAUGUAAGAAACAUCUUUUUGUCCCAGAAGAUCUCAUGUGUGACUUAUCACACAUAGAGUUUGCCAACUGGAUUGGUUGUGAUAGAGCCUGGCUCCAAGGGGCUCCCAUUCCCAUCUGGGAAUGUCCUAGAACAUGAGGCAUUAUCCAAGAGGCAGAGGAUGGCGUCACUUGGGCCAAAGGUCCGAACCUGAGGGCCAUAUAAAUGAGUGGAGAUUCGGAGAGAGGAGCUUGGAGGGCAGGAGUGCUGCCACAGGGAAGGAUGGCACCCAGAGGGAGAAAGACCUGUAUCUCAAUCCUUUCAUACCUGUGUCUGGGGCCUCCUGUGAGUCUGCAACCAGCUGCUGCUGCCUCUCCUCCUUUACCUUCUUCAAAUCUUCUCAUCACACAAUUUUCAAAUAUAUACCUAAGUAGAGAGAAUGGUACAACGAACUCCCACGUACCUGUCACCGUCAUCCGCCUUGAACAAUUAUCCACACUCAUCCUGUCUGCCUCCUCCCCCAAACCUCCCCUUCCUCAAAUUAUUAUUGAAAUUAGUUCAUUCUCAUCAUUUUUAAUUUUUAAUUUCCCCUGUUGCAUUUUUUUGGCCCUUUCUUUAAAAAGAUACAUUUCUCAAGAGAGCCCUGAGUAGUUCUGACAGAAAUGUUGGAUUGACCAGACAAUGUGUGCUUCAUUCAUUUCAGACACUUAGUGAGUCUGAGGCACAGCACAGGAUUGAAGACAGUAGCAGAAUAGGGCUCCUGACCUCAAGAGCCUAUCAUCUAGUUCUGGGGAGAGGACGAGGGCACUAACAAGUCCUCAGGAGUAACAGCAAAAGGCUUUGAGCUCAGCUGACAGAAAUUAAACAGCCCCGCUCUCCAAUGCAGAUGAGAACCUUAAGAAUGAAAUCACAGCAGCAGUGAACUAAACUGAGAAAAAAACACCUUCCGGCAACCUUGCACAUGACAUUUGUCACUGCAAACAGGCUUGUCAUGCACAAAUCACCUGCAACAACAAAGAGGAUUAUGGAUGGGUUGGUGGCCAUCACAUGGGAUCUUUUUGUGCUGAGGAGUUUAAAUCAGGUGGUUACUUGCACACCAUUUUGUGGGAUGUAUUUGUAAAUAUAUCCUGCUGGCAUAUUUUAUGCUUCAGUUAAUUGAGUUGGCAUCUAAUUUAGUUGACAUCUAAAAAUAAAAUCAAUUUUCAGACAAAAUACCCAUAAAAUAAGUGAAAUGCUAUAAUAGGUUUCAAGAAAUUAAAAUGUAAUAUAUUUAGGCUUCUAUUCUAAAGCAAUUUCAUGUGGAAUAGUGGAUACUGUAGAUGUAUUUUUUAUUUCUCCUGAAUCUGUCAAUUACAUGAUAAUGAAUGCUGCUACUAUAUUUUCAGAAAUUUAUUGCUUGGAGUAGUUUGUCAUGAAGAAUGAAAUUUUUGUUGGGGUUUCCUUUACAAUGUCAAAGAGCUUAAAUAUGAAUACUUUGUAUGUCGAUGUGCAACUGUAAUUAAGCCAUGACAAUGAUUAUUACUUUGGGCGUAAACACUAUCAAAUUUUCAUUGGGCGAGUUCUUUUUUAAUUAAUGUUGAGUUAUGUUCUGUUUAUUAUCCUGUUUGCUUAUGUUUCCUGCCAUUUUCCAGUUGUCUGCUUGAAUCUCCUUUUCUAAUAGUGAGUUAGCAACUGAUAAUGUGUAUUGAUUUCAGUUUUGCUUCUCAUUUACAUUUUUAUCUCUUUGGUUGAUGUAUUUGCCUUAAUCAUUUUAUUUUUAUAAGCAGUUGUACAGUUUGUUAAUUUAGCUAGAUGAUUAAAUUUGGCUUCUAAAGAGAGUUUGUUUUAGAAACUGGUCCCUGAAGUAAAUUAGUAUUUGGCAUUUUCAACAUAUCAAAGGGACUGGUCUCCUAAAGAUAGCUAAGAACGUCACUCUAAAUUCUUAAAAGUGGAUUCCUAGUUUUGAAACCUUGGACUAUAUAGAGCCAUAUAUUCCAGUAGGUGGUGCAAAUCGACUCCAUUUCAAAUGUAAAUGUAAUUUAAAAUUGUGAUGUAACUAUUUG